rnacentral:tRNA from 1 species
ACUGUAGCGUAAUGGUUAGCUUUCACGCCUAUCAUUCGUAGGACCCAGGUUCAAUCCCCGGCGUCGGUA